NNNNNNNNNCCGUACAGCAGUUGUAAUAACAAUAUAUACUAUAUAUAAUAUAUAAUAUAUACUAUAUAAUAUAUAUAAUAUAUAAUAUAUACAUAGAUCAAGAUGGCGGCGCGAACACAUCGCGAGGCUCAGCGUCUUACCAGAUUUCGGAUAAUAGUGUUACUUUACCUGGUUAUUUCAUUCGUGUUCGCGCGAUUCAGUUAUGCGAACUACAGCUAUAGUAAACAGUCACUUUUGGACAUCAACAAACGGUGUUCCAACGUAGUUUUAGACCAUCCUUUCGACUUCAGCGAACUCCCGCCGGAGCUACUGAGAUCACCGCGGACAAGCGGAUCACUCGCACCGACCGGAAGUGCUCGGCGUCGGCGUCGAGACCGUAAACAAAGACGGGGAAUGCGUGGAGGGCUGCGUGCUAAGCUAAGGCUAAAUCCACAUCGACCAGCUCUGCCCAGCAUCUUCCUUGCCAAUGUACGGUCUCUGAUGAACAAGAUGGACGAACUAAAGAUCUGGACCCUCACACAGAAAUGGCUUAUGGACUGUAAUGUUAUGUUUUUCACUGAAACAUGGCUCUGCAACGAUGUCCCAAACAGCGUGGUGCAUAUGGAUGGACGCUCUUUCUUCAGGGCUGACAGAGUAGCAGCAACCUCUGGUAAAAACAAGGGUGGUGGAGUAUGCAUUUAUGUAAACAAAUCAUGGUGCACAGACUCUGUCAUUGUUGAUACCUACUGCUCUGCUGAUCUGGAGUUCCUGAUUAUCAAGUGCAGGCCAUUCUAUCUACCACGUGAGUUUACUUGCAUUAUUGCUGCUGCAGUUUAUGUACCUCCGGAUGCUAAUGCUAACGUGGCUAUGAAAGAACUUUGUGCUGCUAUUAGCAAGUUACAAACCCUGCACCCGGAUGGAGCCUUUAUUGUUGCUGGGGACUUCAGUCACUGCACUUUUAGAUCUGUUCUCCCUAAAUUUCAUCAAAAUGUCUCCUGCACUACAAGGGGACAUAAAACAUUGGACCACGUUUAUACUAAUGUGACUGAUGCCUACAAAGUCACACCCCUCCCCCACCUGGGUCAGUCUGACCACCUCUCUUUGUUCCUGCUCCCCAAGUAUACCCUAUACAGCAAAUGUGUGAAACCUACAAUAAGGACUGUUAAAAUCUGGCUGGAAGGUGCUGACUCCACUCUUCAACAUCAAUUCCAGCAUACAGAGUGGAGUGAGUUUGCUGCCCAGGCCACCACAGACUCUUAGAUCAACAUUGACACUUACACCAACUCUGUCUUGGAGCACAUCAACAGAUUUUUUGGCAGAGUGACCACACACAAAAAAAUAAAAAUUUUCCCCAAUCAGAAGCCCUGGAUGAACAGAGAGGUUCGCCAAAAGCAAGAGAUGCAGCCUUCAGGUCUGGAGACCGGGAGGCUUACAGCUCAGCCAGAGCCAACCCGAGGAAGGGUAUCUGCCAGGCCAAACUCACACACAAACAGAGGAUUGAAGAACACUUCAAUUCUUCAGACCCCCGGCGUAUGUGGCAAGGCAUACAAUCUAUCACAGAUUACAAACCACCUAACACUGUGCCCCCUCCAGCUCUGCCUCCCUCCCCGACGAGCUCAAUCACUUUUAUGCUUAGUUUUAGAAAAAAAUAUAAGGAGAUCUCACUCAAAGCUGAGCAUCAACCCAGUGAACUGCCU
rnacentral:lncRNA from 1 species